rnacentral:rRNA from 1 species
GACUCUCGGCAACAGAUAUCUCGGCUCUCGCGUCAAUGAAGAACAUAGCAAAAUGCGAUACUUGGUGUGAAUUGCAAAAUCUAGUAAACCAUCGAGUCUUUGAACGCAAGUUGCGCCCGAAGCCGUCAGGCCGGGGGCACGCCUGCCUAGGUGUCACGC